AGUGAACGCUGGCGGUAGGCCUAACACAUGCAAGUCGAACGGCAGCACAGGAGAGCUUGCUCUCUGGGUGGCGAGUGGCGGACGGGUGAGGAAUACAUCGGAAUCUACUUUUUCGUGGGGGAUGACGUAGGGAAGCUUACGCUAAUACCGCAUACGACCUACGGGUGAAAGCAGGGGACCUUCAGGCCUUGCGCGCUAGAAUGAGCCGAUGUCGGAGUAGCUAGUUGGCGGGGUAAAGGCCCACCAAGGCGACGAUCCGUAGCUGGUCUGAGAGGAUGAUCAGCCACACUGGAACUGAGACACGGUCCAGACUCCUACGGGAGGCAGCAGUGGGGAAUAUUGGACAAUGGGCGCAAGCCUGAUCCAGCCAUACCGCGUGGGUGAAGAAGGCCUUCGGGUUGUAAAGCCCUUUUGUUGGGAAAGAAAUCCAGCUGGCUAAUACCCGGUUGGGAUGACGGUACCCAAAGAAUAAGCACCGGCUAACUUCGUGCCAGCAGCCGCAGUAA
rnacentral:rRNA from 1 species